UGCAGUCGAACGAGUUCUCGUUGAUGAUCGGUGCUUGCACCGAGAUUCAACAUGGAACGAGUGGCGGACGGGUGAGUAACACGUGGGUAACCUGCCCUUAAGUGGGGGAUAACAUUUGGAAACAGAUGCUAAUACCGCAUAGAUCCAAGAACCGCAUGGUUCUUGGCUGAAAGAUGGCGUAAGCUAUCGCUUUUGGAUGGACCCGCGGCGUAUUAGCUAGUUGGUGAGGUAAUGGCUCACCAAGGCGAUGAUACGUAGCCGAACUGAGAGGUUGAUCGGCCACAUUGGGACUGAGACACGGCCCAAACUCCUACGGGAGGCAGCAGUAGGGAAUCUUCCACAAUGGACGCAAGUCUGAUGGAGCAACGCCGCGUGAGUGAAGAAGGCUUUCGGGUCGUAAAACUCUGUUGUUGGAGAAGAAUGGUCGGCAGAGUAACUGUUGUCGGCGUGACGGUAUCCAACCAGAAAGCCACGGCUAACUACGUGCCAGCAGCCGCGGUAAUACGUAGGUGGCAAGCGUUAUCCGGAUUUAUUGGGCGUAAAGCGAGCGCAGGCGGUUUUUUAAGUCUGAUGUGAAAGCCCUCGGCUUAACCGAGGAAGCGCAUCGGAAACUGGGAAACUUGAGUGCAGAAGAGGACAGUGGAACUCCAUGUGUAGCGGUGAAAUGCGUAGAUAUAUGGAAGAACACCAGUGGCGAAGGCGGCUGUCUGGUCUGUAACUGACGCUGAGGCUCGAAAGCAUGGGUAGCGAACAGGAUUAGAUACCCUGGUAGUCCAUGCCGUAAACGAUGAAUGCUAGGUGUUGGAGGGUUUCCGCCCUUCAGUGC
rnacentral:rRNA from 1 species